rnacentral:rRNA from 1 species
UACGGAGGGUGCAAGCGUUAUCCGGAUUCACUGGGUUUAAAGGGCGCGUAGGCGGGUGCUCAAGUCUGUGGUGAAAUCCUCCGGCUCAACCGGAGAACUGCCAUGGAUACUGGGUGCCUCGAGGGUGAUAGGGGUAUGCGGAACUAUCGGUGGAGCGGUGAAAUGCGUUGAUAUCGAUAGGAACUCCGGUGGCGAAGGCGGCAUACUGGAUCACUUCUGACGCUGAGGCGCGAAAGCCAGGGGAGCAAACGGG